UACGUAGGGUGCAAGCGUUGUCCGGAAUUAUUGGGCGUAAAGAGCUCGUAGGCGGUUUGUCGCGUCUGCUGUGAAAACGCGAGGCUCAACCUCGCGCCUGCAGUGGGUACGGGCAGACUAGAGGUAGGUAGGGGAGAAUGGAAUUCCCGGUGUAGCGGUGAAAUGCGCAGAUAGUCGGAGGAACACCGGUGGCGAAGGCGGUUCUCUGGGCCUUACCUGACGCUGAGGAGCGAAAGCGUGGGGAGCGAACAGG
rnacentral:rRNA from 1 species